GGGAAAAUAGCUCAGUGAUAGAGCAUCGGUAUCUUAACUCAAUGGUCGUCGGUUCGAUCCCCGGAUUAUUUCCG
rfam:Aphanomyces astaci strain APO3 cont1.936, whole genome shotgun sequence.